rnacentral:rRNA from 1 species
UACGUAGGGUGCGAGCGUUAAUCGGAAUUACUGGGCGUAAAGCGUGCGUAGGCGGUUGGCAAAGUCAGCUGUGAAAGCCCCGGGCUCAACCUGGGAAUGGCGGUUGAAACUAGUCGACUCGAAUCUGGCAGAGGGGGGUGGAAUUCCACGUGUAGCAGUGAAAUGCGUAGAGAUGUGGAGGAACACCAAUGGCGAAGGCAGCCCCCUGGGCUGAGAUUGACGCUCAGGCACGAAAGCGUGGGGAGCAAACAGG